rnacentral:tRNA from 1 species
CCUUCGAUAGCUCAGUUGGUAGAGCGGUGGACUGUAGUGGUUUAUAUCAAAGAUAUCCAUAGGUCGCUGGUUCAAAUCCGGCUCGAAGGA